UUGACUUAUUGUAUAAGUUACUCAGAGAGGCCACUGAUGACAAAGAGUUUCGGGCCUCUGGCGGGGUGCCAGACCCCCUAGAAGGGGGCCGACGCAGCCCGUUGUUAGCGGGCCACCCGCCGAAGCAACGGUGAGGUAGGUUCACAAUGGUUGGGAGUUUUGCAACUCUGUAAUGAUCCCUCCGCUGGUUCACCAACGGAGA
rnacentral:misc_RNA from 1 species